UACGUAGGUGGCAAGCGUUGUCCGGAUUUACUGGGCGUAAAGAGCGCGCAGGCGGUCGUUCAAGUCGCGUGUGAAAGCCCCCGGCUCAACUGGGGAGGGUCACGCGAUACUGAUCGACUCGAAGGCAGGAGAGGGAAGUGGAAUUCCCGGUGUAGUGGUGAAAUGCGUAGAUAUCGGGAGGAACACCAGUGGCGAAGGGCGACUCCUGGCCUGUUCUUGACUGCUGAGGCGCGAAACGUGGGG
rnacentral:rRNA from 1 species